rnacentral:tRNA from 2 species
AAGGGAGACCUAAUUCAGGUAGGAGACGAAAAAAAAGUAGUCGCUACCAAGAAUCAAUCCCAAAAGGUCGGAGCGAGGCGAAAUUGGCUUUCAAACUAGGUUCUGGGUUCAAACAAGACCUGAAUCGGGAACAAGGGCUAUUAGCUCAGGUGGUUAGAGCGCACCCCUGAUAAGGGUGAGGUCCCUGGUUCGAGUCCAGGAUGGCCCACCUGCACAGGUGGCAAAAACAAGAGAAGCGAGGAAUCAGCACCUUAUCUUAUUUAUAUAGUAAGAGAGAAUGCUGGCUCUGAGUUCAGAGUCCAGAGGAACCUUGAAAACUGCAUAGAGCUAGGUGAAAAAGCCAAAAAAGAAGACCGCAA